rnacentral:rRNA from 1 species
GACGGAGGAUGCAAGUGUUAUCCGGAAUCACUGGGCGUAAAGCGUCUGUAGGUGGUUUAAUAAGUCAACUGUUAAAUCUUGAGGCUCAACCUCAAAAUCGCAGUCGAAACUAUUAGGCUAGAGUAUAGUAGGGGUAAAGGGAAUUUCCAGUGGAGCGGUGAAAUGCGUAGAGAUUGGAAAGAACACCGAUGGCGAAGGCACUUUACUGGGCUAUUACUAACACUCAGAGAC